AAAUAUUCCACAGUCCACUGUCAGUGGGAUUAUAACAAAGGGUGUUGGUGGGGGUGGUCAGCUGAAAAACAGUGGGAGUGAAAGACAUUUCAGCAGUACUGUCUCUGAACACUAGGGGGGGCUCAACCUUCAUUCAUGCAAAAUAUAGCAGUGGAUGAUCGUUUUACUGAACUAACUCUAUUGGUUAAAGACUGCUUAUGUAAAUUUAUAUGUGGCUUCUAGGCUCCACAUAAAAAUCAACUCAUCUAGUGCUCAUAUGACUUCCAGCCCCAGAAGUGAAAUAAGAAAAGAAAGAAAAGAAAAAAAACUGUCGGCUAUCAAAGAGUUUCAUUAUGGGGUUUAGUGUUGCUCAGUACUCCAUUCUUAUACUGAUACUAACACAGGAUACCGUUCAUGCUCAGAUCCGACUUGACCAGUCUUCUGCUGAGGUGAAGAAACCUGGAGAAGCUGUGAAGAUCUCCUGUAAAAUUAGUGGGUACAGCAUGACGAGCUACAACAUUCACUGGCUAAGACAGAAACCAGGACAAGCUCUGGAAUGGAUUGGGAGGAUGAGCACUGGCUCAAAUUCAGCAACAUAUGCAGACUCAGUGAAAGACCACUUCACAAUGACUGAGGACGUUUCCACAAGUACGCAGUUCUUAGAGGCCAAGAGUCUGAGAGCAGAGGACACUGCUGUUUAUUACUGCGCUCGACAACCACAGUGAUGGAUCUGAUGGAGCAGCUGUACUAAAACCACACACACUUACUGACUAAACUGACUGAAAGAUCUUCUCUAUUUCUCAAAUGUCACCAGACACAAUGAAUUAUACUACAACCAGUGGAAAACAGCUUUGACUACACAAUGUUUUAAAUUUUUAAGCUAAUGUUUGGGAAAGAAAGUGGAUUAAAAAUGGUUUUAGAAUAACAUUAGUGGACGAUAAGAAGGCCAGUACAUUAUCAUGCAUUGGUUUCUCUUUAGUCGGCUUUGUGUCCAAUGUCUGCUGUUCUAAUGGACCUCUUCUAUUUCAUUACUGCUUACAAACUGGACUAUGUUUGAGUAGAUGAGUUCAAUUCAUUGUAUAUUGUCAUGUUUGUACACCAAUCAGGCCUAACAUUAUGACCACCCCCUUGUUUCUA